UACGAGGGGUGCAAACGUUAUUCGGAUUUACUGGGUGUAAAGGGUGUGUAGACGGCGCAUUAAGUUCGUUGUUAAAUCUUCCGGCCUCACUGGAAGGUCGCGAUGAAGACUGAUGUGCUAGAGGAUGGAAGAGAGAAGUGGAAUUCUCGGAGUAGCGGUAAAAUGCGUAGAUCUCGAGAGGAACACCGAUGGCGAAGGCAGCUUCUUGGUCCAUUCCUGACGUUGAGACACGAAAGCGUGGGGAGCAAACAGG
rnacentral:rRNA from 1 species